rnacentral:rRNA from 1 species
GAUGAACGCUGGCGGCGUGCCUAAUACAUGCAAGUCGAGCGAAUGGAUUAAGAGCUUGCUCUUAUGAAGUUAGCGGCGGACGGGUGAGUAACACGUGGGUAACCUGCCCAUAAGACUGGGAUAACUCCGGGAAACCGGGGCUAAUGCCGGAUAACAUUUUGAACCGCAUGGUUCGAACUUGAAAGGCGGCUUCGGCUGUCACUUAUGGAUGGACACGCGUCGCAUUAGCUAGUUGGGGAGGUAACGGCUCACCUAGGCAACGAUGAGUAGCCGACCUGAGAGGGUGAUCGGCCACACUGGGACUGAGACACGGCCCAGACUCCUACGGGAGGCAGCAGUAGGGAAUCUUCCGCAAUGGACGAAAGACUGACGGAGCAACGCCGAGUGAGUGAUGAAGGCUUUCGGGUCGUAAAACUCUGUUGUUAGGGAAGAACAAGUGCUAGUUGAAUAAGCUGGCACCUUGACGGUACCUAACCAGAAAGCCACGGCUAACUACGUGCCAGCAGCCGCCGCCG